GUUUCUAUAGUUGAAUUACAACGGUGGUUUUUCAUAUCAUUGGUUUCGGUUAAAAUCCGGGUGGAAAUU
rnacentral:tRNA from 1 species